rnacentral:rRNA from 1 species
GAUGAACGCUGGCGGCGUGCCUAAUACAUGCAAGUCGAGCGAACAGACGAGGAGCUUGCUCCUCUGACGUUAGCGGCGGACGGGUGAGUAACACGUGGAUAACCUACCUAUAAGACUGGGAUAACUUCGGGAAACCGGAGCUAAUACCGGAUAAUAUAUUGAACCGCAUGGUUCAAUAGUGAAAGACGGUUUUGCUGUCACUUAUAGAUGGAUCCGCGCCGCAUUAGCUAGUUGGUAAGGUAACGGCUUACCAAGGCAACGAUGCGUAGCCGACCUGAGAGGGUGAUCGGCCACACUGGAACUGAGACACGGUCCAGACUCCUACGGGAGGCAGCAGUAGGGAAUCUUCCGCAAGGGGCGAAAGCUUGACGGAGCAACGCCGCGUGAGUGAUGAAGGUCUUCGGAUCGUAAAACGCUGUUAUUAGGGAAGAACAAAGGUGUAAGUAACUAUGCACGUCUUGACGGUACCUAAUCAGAAAGCCACGGCUAACUACGU